CAAAGUUAAACAAGUCACACCCUUCCACCUCUCAUUAGUCAGGUUCUCCAUUCCACCUGUCACCCCAGUAGCCUUCUCUGCAUUGAAAAAAACUAGUUUCUGUUCAUUUUCUUGCAUGUCUUUGACCAGAGUUGUGACUAUUCCAGGUGACUUCACACCAAGGCCUAGCACCAUCAUCCUGCUCCUUGGCUGUCUUCCUGGAAUUGUCCUGGUGGGGACCUUUCAAAGACCCCAAAUUGUGUGCUCACAACAUGUAAUGAAACUCCAUAUAGGUGACAUUCUGGACUAAAUCUCUUCAGGACAGAUGAAACAGUAGCAAGAGACUUGCAUGCAUGGGAUGUUGCUCUUGGAAACCCUGUGGAGAAGCAACACGAGAUUAAGGUCCAGAACUCUUUCUUACCCACUCUGUGAUGAGAGGAAGACCACAGCAAGUGCUAUUCCUGGUA